rnacentral:rRNA from 1 species
CCCUUAGAUGUCCUGGGCCGCACGCGCGCUACACUGAUGCAUGCAACGAGUUUAUAACCUUGGCCUGAAAGGUCUGGGUAAUCUUUUGAACGAGCAUCGUGAUAGGGAUAGAUUAUUGCAAUUGUUAAUCUUGAACGAGGAAUUCCUAGUAAACGCGAGUCAUCAGCUCGCAUUGAUUACGUCCCUGCCCUUUGUACGCACCGCCCGUCGCACCUACCGAUUGAAUGGUUCGGUGAAGAUCUCGGACUUCGAUAUUUAUUCUUUAUUGAGUUUAUAUUGUGGGAAGUUAUCUAAACCUCAUCAUUUAGAGGAAGGUGAAGUCGUAACA